rnacentral:tRNA from 1 species
GGGGAUAUGGUGAAAUAGGUAGACACAAGAGACUUAAAAUCUCUCGCUUUUGAGCGUGCCGGUUCGAGUCCGGCUUUCCCUACCA